rnacentral:rRNA from 1 species
UACGGAGGGUGCGAGCGUUGUCCGGAAUCACUGGGCGUAAAGGGCGCGUAGGUGGCACGGGUAGUCGUCGGUGAAAGCUCAGGGCUCAACCCUGAGUCGGCCGGUGAUACUCCCGAGCUCGAGUGUGGUAGAGGCCAAUGGAAUUCCGGGUGUAGCGGUGGAAUGCGUAGAGAUCCGGAAGAACACCGGUGGCGAAGGCGGUUGGCUGGGCCACAACUGACACUGAUGCGCGACAGCGUGGGGAGCAAAACGG